rnacentral:rRNA from 1 species
AUACGUAGGGGGCGAGCGUUGUCCGGAAUGAUUGGGCGUAAAGGGCGCGUAGGCGGCCCGGUAAGUCUGGAGUGAAAGUCCUGUUUUUAAGAUGGGAAUUGCUUUGGAUACUGUCGGACUUGAGUGCAGGAGAGGUAAGUGGAAUUCCCAGUGUAGCGGUGAAAUGUGUAGAGAUUGGGAGGAACACCAGUGGCGAAGGCGACUUACUGGACUGUAACUGACGCUGAGGCGCGAAAGGGUGGGGAGCAAACAGGAUUAGAUACCCUGGUAGUCCACACUGUAAACGAUGAAUGCUAGGUGUAGGGGGUAUCGACCCCUUCUGUGCCGCAGUCAACACAAUAAGCAUUCCGCCUGGGGAGUACGGCCGCAAGGUUGAAACUCAAAGGAAUUGACGGGG